UACGUAGGGUGCAAGCGUUAAUCGGAAUUACUGGGCGUAAAGCGUGCGCAGGCGGUUUUGUAAGUCAGAUGUGAAAUCCCCGGGCUUAACCUGGGAACUGCGUUUGAAACUACAAGGCUAGAGUGUGGCAGAGGGGGGUGGAAUUCCACGUGUAGCAGUGAAAUGCGUAGAGAUGUGGAGGAACACCGAUGGCGAAGGCAACCCCCUGGGUUAACACUGACGCUCAGGCACGAAAGCGUGGGGAGCAAACAGG
rnacentral:rRNA from 1 species